rnacentral:rRNA from 1 species
UAGCCGUAAACGAUACUCGCUAGGUGUCGGCCACGGUGCGACCGUUGUCGGUGCCGUAGGGAAGCCGUGAAGCGAGCCACCUAGGGAAGUACGGCCGCAAGGCUGAAACUUAAAGGAAUUGGCGGGGGAGCACCACAACGGGUGGAGCUUGCGGUUUAAUUGGAUUCAACGCCGGAAAUCUUACCGGGACCGACAGCAACAUGAAGGCCAGGCUGAAGACUUUGCCGGAUUAGCUGAGAGGAGGUGCAUGGCGUAGUCGUGU